rnacentral:rRNA from 1 species
CACGUAAGGAGCGAGCGUUGUUCGGAAUUAUUGGGCGUAAAGGGCACGUAGGCGGUUAUAUAAGUCUGGUGUGAAAGACUGCAGCUUAACUGCAGGAACGCACUGGAAACUGUAUGACUUGAAUCAGUGAGGGGUAACCGGAAUUCCUAGUGUAGGGGUGAAAUCUGUUGAUAUUAGGAAGAACACCGAUGGCGAAGGCAGGUUACUGGCACAUGAUUGACGCUGAUGUGCGAAAGCGUAGGGAGCGAACAGG